rnacentral:rRNA from 1 species
UAAAAGUCGUAACAAGGUUUCCGUAGGUGAACCUGCGGAAGGAUCAUUAAUGAAUUGUAGGACGCUCUUUUUAGAGGUCCGACCCUUUCAUUUCCUUACACUGUGCACACACUUCUUUUUACACACAUUUUAACACAUUAGUAUAAGAAUGUAACAGUCUCUUAAUUGAGCAUAAUUAAAAACAAAACUUUCAGCAACGGAUCUCUUGGCUCUCGCAUCGAUGAAGAACGCAGCGAAUUGCGAUAAGUAAUGUGAAUUGCAGAAUUCAGUGAAUCAUCGAAUCUUUGAACGCACCUUGCACUCUUUGGUAUUCCGAAGAGUAUGUCUGUUUGAGUGUCAUGAAACUCUCAACCCCCCUAUUUUGUAAUGAAAUGGGCGUGGGCUUGGAUUAUGGCUGUCUGUCGGCGUAAUAGCCGGCUCAGCUGAAAUACACGAGCUACCCUUUUGAAAUAAACGGUUUGACUCGGCGUAAUAAUUAUUUCGCUGAGGACGUUUUCUUCAAAUGUCAGAGGUGCUUCUAAUGCGCUUUUAAGCAACUUAAGCUUUAGACCUCAAAUCAGUCAGGACUACCCGCUGAACUUAAGCAUAUCAAUAAGCGGAGGAAA